CACGCCAUAAACGAUGAGUGCUAGGUGUUGGGGGUCAAACCUCGGUGCCGCAGUUAACGCAUUAAGCACUCCGCCUGGGGAGUACGUUCGCAAGAAUAAAACUCAAAGGAAUUGACGGGGACCCGCACAAGCAGCGGAGCAUGUGGUUUAAUUCGAAGCAACGCGAAGAACCUUACCUGGAUUUGACAUCCCUCUGACCGUUUCUUAACCGAGACCUUUCCUUCGGGAACAGAGGAGACAGGUGG
rnacentral:rRNA from 1 species